rnacentral:tRNA from 1 species
UCAACUAUAGGUUAACUUUUAAACUGCUAAUUUGUGGUGUUAGUGAUUUUUUUAAUAGUUGAA